rnacentral:rRNA from 1 species
UCAGCCGCGGUAUUCCAGCUCCAAUAGCGUAUAUUAAAGUUGUUGCAGUUAAAAAGCUCGUAGUUGAAUUUCGGGGUCAUCAGGUUGGUCGUGCCACUGGUAUGCACUGGCCUUGGUGAUUCCUCCUUCUUGUAGAGCCGUGAUGCCAUUAAUUUGGUGUUGCGGGGAAACAGGACUGUUACUUUGAAAAAAUUAGAGUGUUUAAAGCAGGCUCACGCUUGAAUACAUUAGCAUGGAAUAAUAAAAUAGGACGUUCGAUCCUAUUUUGUUGGUUUCUAGGGUUGACGUAAUGAUUAAUAGGGAUAGUUGGGGGCAUUAGUAUUCAAUUGUCAGAGGUGAAAUUCUUGGAUUUAUUGAAGACUAACUACUGCGAAAGCAUUUGCCAAGGAUGUUUUCAUUAAUCAAGAACGAAAGUUAGGGGAUCGAAGACGAUCAGAUACCGUC